UAUAAUCUAUCAAUUCUAUCUAAAUCUAGACUUCACUUUCACAUCACAUUCACAUGAUUAUUGAUACAGACAGUGAAUGAAAUGAAUGCAGUGGUUAUACUGAUUAUACUUAAAGUGACAAUACUACUUAUAGAUCUACCAGUUGAUAAACAUCAUCAUCAUAGAUAAUAAUCUACAUCUAUAAUCAUAGUGCCCUUUAUUUAGUCAAUAUAGUCAAGUCAAGAUAGUGGAACGUAAACUUGAAGGUUUAAUGUUUAAUACAAUACGUUAUUAACAAGUAGAACCAUGGCAACCAGUUCUGAUGAUGUACCAGAAUGGCUCAAGGAUCAUACUUAUACUAUUUCUACUCUCUGGGCAUCCAUUCAAUAUUUAAUUUAUGUUUGGAAAUGCAAGAAAAAGGCAUGCAUUCCUGAAAAGUCAAUGAUUGGUUGCACCUCUUAAAGAUAACUUUCUGUUAUGAGAAAAGAUGAGAUUCUUGGACUCCUGCAUAGCACCACCAGAAAGGAAAAUCCCAUCAUGUUGCAAAAUAAAAGUCUUGGACCAAUUUUAAUUUAAGAUAUAUAUAUUAUACUGUAAGCUGUAUACAUAUUUAUGUAUAUCCUGUCAUUCAGCCAACAGGUUUGGAUUUAGUAUUUCUUUAAAUCUGUUUGAUAUUGUACUUAAAAACUAUUAAUCUGAGCCCCAUUAAAACAAGAGGGAGUGCAGUGGAUGAGUGGUAAGGGAAAUUUUACUUUUUUUAAAUUAAAAUAAGAAUCUAACAAAAGUAAACAUAUAAAAUAUGGUGCAUUCUCCUUAAAACUAAAACCUGGUGCAAAGGUUUAAAAUGUUGGCAAAAAAAAAGCAACAUCAAUUAAAUAUUCUUAAUUCCCUAUGCAAAACUUACUGAGAAGAACAUGCAUGUUGUUCCCUCAUAAGUUUCUUGACAGAGGAAAUCUUGUUUAUAUUAGAUUUGAAUUAAGCAAAUUAAGAAAAAAAUUAUAAUCAUUAUUUCAAAUGGUUGUAUCUAAACCUUAUGAAUUAUUUUUCAGUUAUAAGUAUAUUGAAAUGAAUGGAUAAUCAUGAAAUUGUUAAAUAAUUGCUGCUAUCAUUCCAUUGACUAAAGAACCAUAAUUUUUUUUUUAAUUAAUUUCAAAAUUAAUUAAUUAAUUAAUUUUCAAGCAGAGUUCACAUAGAUCUUGAGUGAAAUUUUUCUUUUUUUGACUAAUGCUUCAAUUUUAUUGUAUCAUUAGUUUUUUAUUUUUAUUACCCAGAAUAUUUUAAAAAUGAGUACACUAUUUUCAUGUAAUAAUGUAACUUGGUAUUCACACAUCAAAAUACGCUAUAAUCUUUAGGCCAUAUAGAUUUGUAUAAAUAUAAAUGAACUUGCUUAAAUACAUUGUAAAUGUAUAUUGUUUGGAUAAGAAUAAAGUUUUUCUGUAGACAA